rnacentral:rRNA from 1 species
AACAAACGCUGGCGGCGUGCCUAACACAUGCAAGUCGUACGAGAAAGUCGGCUUCGGCCGAUGAGUACAGUGGCGCACGGGUGAGUAGCGCGUGGGUAAUCUGCCCCCCGGUCAGGAAUAACCCGCCGAAAGGCGGGCUAAUACCCGAUAACACUGACGCUCCGCGGAGCGUCUUUCAAAGAAGGCCUCUGUUUACAAGCUUUCGCCGGAGGAUGAGCCCGCGUACCAUUAGCUAGUUGGCAGGGUAAUGGCCUACCAAGGCUACGAUGGUUAGCUGGUCUGAGAGGAUGGCCAGCCACACUGGAACUGAGACACGGUCCAGACUCCUACGGGAGGCAGCAGUGAGGAAUCUUGCGCAAUGGGGGAAACCCUGACGCAGCAACGCCGCGUGAGUGAGGAAGGCCUUCGGGUCGUAAAGCUCUGUCAGAUGGGAAGAAAUGGAUGGGGGCUAAUAUCGCCCAUCCUUUGACGGUACCAUCAGAGGAAGCACCGGCUAACUCCGUCG